UCUCCGUUGGUGAACCAGCGGAGGGAUCAUUACAGAGUGGCAAAACUCCCAAACCAUUGUGAACGUUACCUAUCCCGUUGCUUCGGCGGGCGGCCCGGGCCCCGCGCCCGGCGCCCCCCGGCCCCCCGUGGGCGCCCGCCGGAGGUAAACCAAACCCUUGGAUUGCAUGGCCUCUCUGAGUCUUCUGUACUGAAUAAGUCAAAACUUUCAACAACGGAUCUCUUGGUUCUG
rnacentral:misc_RNA from 1 species